rnacentral:rRNA from 1 species
GACGAACGCUGGCGGCGUGCUUAACACAUGCCAGUCGAACGGAAAGGCCCUGCUUUUGUGGGGUGCUCGAGUGGCGAACGGGUGAGUAACACGUGAGUAACCUGCCCUUGACUUUGGGAUAACUUCAGGAAACUGGGGCUAAUACCGGAUAGGAGCUCCUGCUGCAUGGUGGGGGUUGGAAAGUUUCGGCGGUUGGGGAUGGACUCGCGGCUUAUCAGCUUGUUGGUGGGGUAGUGGCUUACCAAGGCUUUGACGGGUAGCCGGCCUGAGAGGGUGACCGGCCACAUUGGGACUGAGAUACGGCCCAGACUCCUACGGGAGGCAGCAGUGGGGAAUAUUGCACAAUGGGCGGAAGCCUGAUGCAGCAACGCCGCAUGCGGGAUGACGGCCUUCGGGUUGUAAUCCGCUUUCGCCUGUGACGAAGCGUGAGUGACGGUAAUGGGUAAAGAAGCACCGGCUAACUACGUG